GGGACACAGAAAAUAAAAAAUCAAAUCUUUGCAUUUAAGUUUGUGUUAGAAAACAUGUCUGUUAUAAUUAUGCAGUUUCCAUUCUCAUCACUAAUGACUGGAGAGAUACAGCUGCAUUUGAACAAGGCAUGGCAUCUCAUGAAGUUAAAGGAUCACUAUAGGGUUAGGAACACAAAUAUGUAUUCCUGACCCUAUAGUGUUAAAACCACCAUUUAGCCCCCC